rnacentral:lncRNA from 1 species
UUUGUCUCGAGUAAAAAAGUAAAGGUAAAAAAAAAAAAGAAUGCAUAGGUUUAACGUGUGUAGUGUACUAGUACUCUGGUAAGUUAUACCACCACUUGUAAGUUUGUAACCCAGUGGCAGUGGCCAGUACGAGACACUGCUAUACGCUAACGUGCACCUCUCCUCUCUUUUGUCUUGCUUCUUGUAGUUUUGUAAUAUUUUUUUGUAAGAACAUAUGAAAAUGAGAUGGGAAGAAAAAACAGAAAGAGAAAGUAAAAAAAAAAAAAAAAAAGGCUGGAAUACGGAAAGAGGCUUGCUUUUGCAUUGCCUGAUGUGGUGUGAUUUGUGAUGUUACAUUUUUUCUGACAAGUCCUUGUACUUUUGUUUUCUUCCCUUUUUCGUCUAUUUAAGUUUCUUUGCUAUCACUACGCCCCCUACAUUUUUGUGAUCUCUUGUCACAAAUUAUAUAUACUUUCAAGACUUUUCCAAAGUUGCGUUUUGAUGCCAUUU